rnacentral:misc_RNA from 1 species
UCCCCGUUGCCGGGGCAGUCUAGCUAGAGAAAUACAACUAACUAUAAGGGUUGCGCUCGUUGAUGGACUUAACCAAACAUCUCACGACACGAGCUGACGACGGCCAUGCAACACCUGUCAUCUGGUUCCCGAAGGCACUUUUUUCUUUCGAAAAAAUUCCAGAGAUGUCAAACCUUGGUAAGGUUCUACGCUUAUCGUCGAAUUAAACAACACGCUCCACCGCUUGUGCGGGUCCCCGUCAAUUCCUUUAUGUUUUAAGCUUGCGCUCGUACUCCACAGGCGGGAUGCUUAACGCGUUAGCUUCGCUACUAGAAGGGUCGAUACUUCUAACAGCUAGCAUCCAUAGUUUACGGCGUGGACUAC